GGGUUGUGAGGUUAAGCGACUAAGCGUACACGGUGGAUGCCCUGGCAGUCAGAGGCGAUGAAGGACGUGCUAAUCUGCGAAAAGCGUCGGUAAGGUGAUAUGAACCGUUAUAACCGGCGAUGUCCGAAUGGGGAAACCCAGUGCAAUUCGUUGCACUAUCGUUAACUGAAUACAUAGGUUAACGAGGCGAACCGGGGGAACUGAAACAUCUAAGUACCCCGAGGAAAAGAAAUCAACCGAGAUUCCCCCAGUAGCGGCGAGCGAACGGGGAGCAGCCCAGAGUCUGAAUCAGCUUGUGUGUUAGUGGAACGGUCUGGAAAGUCCGACGGUACAGGGUGAUAGUCCCGUACACCAAAAUGCACAGGCUGUGAACUCGAAGAGUAGGGCGGGACACGUGGUAUCCUGUCUGAAUAUGGGGGGACCAUCCUCCAAGGCUAAAUACUCCUGACUGACCGAUAGUGAACCAGUACCGUGAGGGAAAGGCGAAAAGAACCCCGGCGAGGGGAGUGAAAAAGAACCUGAAACCGUGUACGUACAAGCAGUGGGAGCACCUUCGGGUGUGACUGCGUACCUUUUGUAUAAUGGGUCAGCGACUUAUAUUCUGUAGCAAGGUUAACCGUAUAGGGGAGCCGCAGGGAAACCGAGUCUUAACUGGGCGUUAAGUUGCAGGGUAUAGACCCGAAACCCGGUGAUCUAGCCAUGGGCAGGUUGAAGGUUGGGUAACACUAACUGGAGGACCGAACCGACUAAUGUUGAAAAAUUAGCGGAUGACUUGUGGCUGGGGGUGAAAGGCCAAUCAAACCGGGAGAUAGCUGGUUCUCCCCGAAAGCUAUUUAGGUAGCGCCUCGUGAAUUCAUCUUCGGGGUAGAGCACUGUUUCGGCUAGGGGGUCAUCCCGACUUACCAACCCGAUGCAAACUACGAAUACCGAAGAAUGUUAUCACGGGAGACACACGGCGGGUGCUAACGUCCGUCGUGAAGAGGGAAACAACCCAGACCGCCAGCUAAGGUCCCAAAGUCAUGGUUAAGUGGGAAACGAUGUGGGAAGGCACAGACAGCCAGGAUGUUGGCUUAGAAGCAGCCAUCAUUUAAAGAAAGCGUAAUAGCUCACUGGUCGAGUCGGCCUGCGCGGAAGAUGUAACGGGGCUAAACCAUGCACCGAAGCUGCGGCAGCGACACUAUGUGUUGUUGGGUAGGGGAGCGUUCUGUAAGCCUGCGAAGGUGUGCUGUGAGGCAUGCUGGAGGUAUCAGAAGUGCGAAUGCUGACAUAAGUAACGAUAAAGCGGGUGAAAAGCCCGCUCGCCGGAAGACCAAGGGUUCCUGUCCAACGUUAAUCGGGCAGGGUGAGUCGACCCCUAAGGCGAGGCCGAAAGGCGUAGUCGAUGGGAAACAGGUUAAUAUUCCUGUACUUGGUGUUACUGCGAAGGGGGACGGAGAAGGCUAUGUUAGCCGGGCGACGGUUGUCCCGGUUUAAGCAUGUAGGCUGGUUAUCCAGGCAAAUCCGGAUAAUCAAGGCUGAGGUGUGAUGACGAGGCACUACGGUGCUGAAGUAACAAAUGCCCUGCUUCCAGGAAAAGCCUCUAAGCAUCAGGUAACAUCAAAUCGUACCCCAAACCGACACAGGUGGUCAGGUAGAGAAUACCAAGGCGCUUGAGAGAACUCGGGUGAAGGAACUAGGCAAAAUGGUGCCGUAACUUCGGGAGAAGGCACGCUGGUGUGUAGGUGAAGCCCCUGCGGGUGGAGCUGAGACCAGUCGAAGAUACCAGCUGGCUGCAACUGUUUAUUAAAAACACAGCACUGUGCAAACACGAAAGUGGACGUAUACGGUGUGACGCCUGCCCGGUGCCGGAAGGUUAAUUGAUGGGGUUAUCCGUAAGGAGAAGCUCUUGAUCGAAGCCCCGGUAAACGGCGGCCGUAACUAUAACGGUCCUAAGGUAGCGAAAUUCCUUGUCGGGUAAGUUCCGACCUGCACGAAUGGCGUAAUGAUGGCCAGGCUGUCUCCACCCGAGACUCAGUGAAAUUGAACUCGCUGUGAAGAUGCAGUGUACCCGCGGCAAGACGGAAAGACCCCGUGAACCUUUACUAUAGCUUGACACUGAACAUUGAGCCUUGAUGUGUAGGAUAGGUGGGAGGCUUUGAAGCGUGGACGCCAGUCUGCGUGGAGCCAACCUUGAAAUACCACCCUUUAAUGUUUGAUGUUCUAACGUUGGCCCCUUACCGGGGUUGCGGACAGUGUCUGGUGGGUAGUUUGACUGGGGCGGUCUCCUCCCAAAGCGUAACGGAGGAGCACGAAGGUUAGCUAAUCCUGGUCGGACAUCAGGAGGUUAGUGCAAUGGCAUAAGCUAGCUUGACUGCGAGCGUGACGGCGCGAGCAGGUGCGAAAGCAGGUCAUAGUGAUCCGGUGGUUCUGAAUGGAAGGGCCAUCGCUCAACGGAUAAAAGGUACUCCGGGGAUAACAGGCUGAUACCGCCCAAGAGUUCAUAUCGACGGCGGUGUUUGGCACCUCGAUGUCGGCUCAUCACAUCCUGGGGCUGAAGUAGGUCCCAAGGGUAUGGCUGUUCGCCAUUUAAAGUGGUACGCGAGCUGGGUUUAGAACGUCGUGAGACAGUUCGGUCCCUAUCUGCCGUGGGCGCUGGAGAAUUGAGGGGGGCUGCUCCUAGUACGAGAGGACCGGAGUGGACGCAUCACUGGUGUUCGGGUUGUCAUGCCAAUGGCACUGCCCGGUAGCUAAAUGCGGAAGAGAUAAGUGCUGAAAGCAUCUAAGCACGAAACUUGCCCCGAGAUGAGUUCUCCCUGAGACUUUAAGUCUCCUGAAGGAACGUUGAAGACGACGACGUUGAUAGGCCGGGUGUGUAAGCGCAGCGAUGCGUUGAGCUAACCGGUACUAAUGAACCGUGAGGCUUAACCUUACAACGCCGAAG
rnacentral:rRNA from 1 species